rnacentral:rRNA from 1 species
AGUGAACGCUGGCGGUAGGCCUAACACAUGCAAGUCGAACGGCAGCACAGUAAGAGCUUGCUCUUACGGGUGGCGAGUGGCGGACGGGUGAGGAAUACAUCGGAAUCUACUUUUUCGUGGGGGAUAACGUAGGGAAACUUACGCUAAUACCGCAUACGACCUACGGGUGAAAGCAGGGGAUCUUCGGACCUUGCGCGAUUGAAUGAGCCGAUGUCGGAUUAGCUAGUUGGCGGGGUAAAGGCCCACCAAGGCGACGAUCCGUAGCUGGUCUGAGAGGAUGGACAGCAAACCGGGAACUGAGACACGGGCCAGACUCCUACGGGGGGCAGCAGUGGGGAAUAUUGGAAAAUGGGCGCAAGCCUGAUCCAGCCAUCCCGGGGGGGUGAAGAAGGCCUUCGGGUUGUAAAGCCCUUUUGUUGGGAAAAAAAAGCAGCAGGUUAAAACCCCGCUGUUCUGACGGUACCCAAAGAAUAAGCACCAGCUAACUUCGU